UACGGAGGGGGCUAGCGUUGUUCGGAAUUACUGGGCGUAAAGAGCUCGUAGGCGGCUCGUUGCGUCCAUCGUGAAAACUCAGGGCUUAACUCUGAGCUUGCGGUGGAUACGGGCGGGCUAGAGUUCGGUAGGGGAGUCUGGAAUUCCUGGUGUAGCGGUGAAAUGCGCAGAUAUCAGGAGGAACACCGGUGGCGAAGGCGGGUCUCUGGGCAGUAACUGACGCUGAGGAGCGAAAGCGUGGGGAGCGAACAGG
rnacentral:rRNA from 1 species